UCCAAACAUUUGAGAACUAUUUGUUUUGCGUGGCGAUUAGCGUUUGCUGGUAGCGAGCGCGGGAAGCGAUAACCGUUGAGAGGGAACGGCUGACUCAGGGUGAGUGUGAACGCGGACUGCUGCUGUUGUUUACUGAGGCCUGUGUGUUUGAGCAGGUGGUGAGGAUUAGCGGUGCUGUCAACACUGAACGCUGGAUGAAGCUCUGCUCACCCUUUCCUCAGUCUGCUCACUAGAGCUCAUCAUUUUAGCAUUUCACUCUCACACACAUAUCUGAAGAGUGGCAGCCCUGUCUCCUGUUGUGAAGCAGAUGUUGCCCUCUGUUUUUACCCACCUCUGCACCCUUUAUCCCAUGCCAAGUCCUAAGAAGCAAUGGUGCCAUGCUAAGUGAGGGACACAAUGGAUAUGUAAAAAUAGCAGAAUACAGACUGCAAGCUCACAUUAAGAUCUGCCUCCACAUGGGAGAAUUGAACCAUCCC